rnacentral:tRNA from 1 species
GCCGAGAUAGCUCAGUUGGUAGAGCACGUUCUUGGUAAGAACGAGGUCAUCGGUUCAAUCCCGAUUCUCGGCUCCA